GACGAACGCUGGCGGCGUGCCUAACACAUGCAAGUCGAGCGGAGUCGAUCGACGGAAGCCUUCGGGCGGAAGAUGGUUGACUUAGCGGCGGAUGGGUGAGUAACGCGUGGGCAACCUGCCUCGAAGACCGGGAUAACAGCCCGAAAGGGCUGCUAAUACCGGAUGUGGUCAAGGAUCCGCAUGGAUUUUUGAUUAAAGGGGAAACCCGUUUCGAGAUGGGCCCGCGUCCUAUCAGCUAGUUGGUGAGGUAAAAGCUCACCAAGGCGACGACGGGUAGCCGGCCUGAGAGGGUGACCGGCCACACUGGAACUGAGACACGGUCCAGACUCCUACGGGGGCAGCAGUGGGGAAUCUUCCACAAUGGGCGAAAAGCCUGAUGGAGCGACGCCGCGUGAGCGAAGAAGGCCUUCGGGUUGUAAAGCGUCUGUCUGGAGGGACGAAGGAAGUGACGGUACCUCCGGAGGAAGCCACGGCUAACUACGUG
rnacentral:rRNA from 1 species